rnacentral:rRNA from 1 species
GUGAGGAAUAUUGCGCAAUGGAGGCAACUCUGACGCAGCCAUGCCGCGUGCAGGAAGAAGGCGCUACGCGUUGUAAACUGCUUUUAACCGGGAAGAAACCCCAGGACGUGUCCUGGGUUGACGGUACCGGAGGAAUAAGCACCGGCUAACUUCGUGCCAGCAGCCGCGGUAAUACGAAGGGUGCAAGCGUUAUCCGGAUUCAUUGGGUUUAAAGGGUGCGUAGGCGGAGCGUUUAGUCAGUGGUGAAAUCCUGCAGCUUAACUGUAGACUUGCCAUUGAUACUGGCGCUCUUGAGUGCGCUUGAAGUGGGCGGAAUGUGCCGUGUAGCGGUGAAAUGCUUAGAUAUGGCACAGAACACCAAUUGCGAAGGCAGCUCACUAAGGCGAUACUGACGCUGAGGCACGAAAGCGUGGGGAUCGAACAGGAUUAGAUACCCGUGUUGUCC